GACGAACGCUGGAGGCGUGCUUAACACAUGCAAGUCGAACGAUGAAAUGGAGCUUGCUCCAUGGAUUAGUGGCGAACGGGUGAGUAACACGUGAAUAACCUGCCCUUAAUUUUGGAAUAACCCAGGGAAACCUGGGCUAAUACCGGAUAAGUAAACCUGUGGCAUCACAUGGUUUUGGAAAGUUUUUCGAUUAAGGAUGGAUUCGCGGCCUAUCAGCUCGUUGGUGAGGUAAUGGCUCACCAAGGCGACGACGGGUAGCCGGCCUGAGAGGGUGAACGGCCGCACUGGGACUUAGACACGGCCCAGACUCCUACGGGAGGCAGCAGUGGGGAAUAUUGCGCAAUGGACGAAAGUCUGACGCAGCGACGCCUCGUGAGGGACGAAGGUCUUCGGAUUGUAAACCUCUUUCAGCAGGGACGAAGCGAAAGUGACGGUACCUGCAGAAGAAGCACCGGCUAACUAUGUGCCAGCCGCCGCAGUAA
rnacentral:rRNA from 1 species